GCCGUCUCAAGGCUUUGAUUUCUUAUUUAAUCAAAAGUACCGGUCAAGGUCAGGUUUGAAGAAUGAAAAUUAAAGUGAAAAGACUGUUUCGGGCUUAAUUACACAGUAAAGAAAUAUGUCAGCAGCACAGAAAAUAAAGAUGGUAAUGGUGUUGUUAGAGAGUUUGGCAGGAACUGGUCACAAAAUUGUACGCAUUAAACCAAAGGGGACUGAUAAACUUGAGAUGUUGUAUAAAGAUCCAAUAGUGGACCAAACUGUCCUGUACAGAGAGAUGAAGAAAAUCAGAACUUUAAAAUCGUAGGAGAGAUGUGAUAUAGAUUUUGUGAAUAUGUGAUCCACUGCUAAAGCAUACUGUGAAAAUUUAUGUGGAGGAAGCUGUUCUCCUUCAGUUCCAAUUCUCUCAAUAAGUGAAAAUGGAAAAAGAAUACCAGUGUUAGAACAGUGUUUUUAAUAAGUGAAAAAAUAAAAUAAAUUGAAGCUAAA